GGCCAGUGAUGAUAGAUAUUGUUCGUACCAUCUGAGAGAGUCUUUCCAAAAGGCUCCUCUGAUUACGUAAUCUAAUCCCAGCUCUCUGAGGCCU